rnacentral:tRNA from 1 species
AAGCCUUGGCUGGAAAGCUGACGGGACGAGACUUUUAAUCUUUUGGUCGAUGGUUCGAAUCCAUCACGGCCCACCA